GAUCAUGGUCAGGACGAACGCUGGCGGCGCGCCUAACACAUGCAAGUCGAACGGAGCUUAAAGAGCUUGCUUUUUAAGCUUAGUGGCGAACGGGUGAGUAACGCGUGAGUAACCUGCCCUAGAGUGGGGGACAACAGUUGGAAACGACUGCUAAUACCGCAUAAGCCCACGGUACCGCAUGGCACUGAGGGAAAAGGAUUUAUUCGCUUUAGGAUGGACUCGCGUCCAAUUAGCUAGUUGGUGAGGUAACGGCCC
rnacentral:rRNA from 1 species